AAGGUUGUUCUAACAAAUCUGAUACAAUCACGAUAUAACAAGAAUGUUACAAUGUUGACGACACAAGCUUGUAACAAUAUUGUUAUGCCAUGUCUGUAUCGGACUUGUUGGAACAACCUU